CCUCUCAUGGCGUAGUGGUAACGCGCCCCAACUGGAGAUCGGGGAGUCGUGAGUUCGAUUCUCACUGAGAAGA
rfam:Aedes aegypti strain Liverpool supercont1.106 genomic scaffold, whole genome shotgun sequence.